AUAGGUAGAGGAACCAACUCUGACACAAACUAACAGAAUCGGAGUUGAUUAGAUUAAUUUUAAAGCCCGAUGUAAAGGCAUCCUUGAGUAGAUAUGGUAGAGUACUGUGUCAGCCGAUCAGAUACUUCGAUUUUUAGGUUUGGGAUGGAGAUUUGAUCUUCCAUACGGAUGCCAUAUAGAGAUCUAACUUUGAAAAGUGGCUUGGAGCUAUUAAAUCUAAAAUGAAGUCCAUGA
rnacentral:lncRNA from 1 species